rnacentral:rRNA from 1 species
UGUGCCAGCAGGCGGUAAUACGGAGGGUGCAAGCGUUAAUCGGAAUUACUGGGCGUAAAGCGCACGCAGGCGGUCUGUUAAGUCAGAUGUGAAAUCCCCGGGCUUAACCUGGGAACUGCAUUUGAAACUGGCAGGCUUGAGUCUUGUAGAGGGGGGUAGAAUUCCAGGUGUAGCGGUGAAAUGCGUAGAGAUCUGGAGGAAUACCGGUGGCGAAGGCGGCCCCCUGGACAAAGACUGACGCUCAGGUGCGAAAGCGUGGGGAGCAAACAGGAUUAGAUACCGUGGUAGUCCC